rnacentral:rRNA from 1 species
CCCUUAGAUGUUCUGGGCCGCACGCGCGCUACACUGAUGCAUUCAACGAGUUUUUCCUGGUCCGAGAGGAAUGGGUAACCUUUUGAAAGUGCAUCGUGCUAGGGAUAGACUAUUGCAAUUAUUGGUCUUCAACGAGGAAUUCCUAGUAGACGUAGUUCAUCAGACUGCAUCGAUUACGUCCCUGCCCUUUGUACACACCGCCCGUCGCUCCUACCGAUUGGAUGAUCCGGUGAAUUAUUCGGACUGCAACGCAACCAGUUCCUGGAUGCAGUUGCGGAAAGUUUUGUGAACCUUACCACUUAGAGGAAGGAGAAGUCGUAACA